UGUGCCUUGCACAUCGCUGACGAGUGGCGGACGGGUGAGUAAUGCUUGGGAACUUGCCUUUGCGAGGGGGAUAACAGUUGGAAACGACUGCUAAUACCGCAUAAUGUCUUCGGACCAAACGGGGCUUAGGCUCCGGCGCAAAGAGAGGCCCAAGUGAGAUUAGCUAGUUGGUAAGGUAAUGGCUUACCAAGGCGACGAUCUCUAGCUGUUCUGAGAGGAAGAUCAGCCACACUGGGACUAAGACACGGCCCAGACUCCUACGGGAGGCAGCAGUGGGGAAUAUUGCACAAUGGGGGGAACCCUGAUGCAGCCAUGCCGCGUGUGUGAAGAAGGCCUUCGGGUUGUAAAGCACUUUCAGUUGUGAGGAAAAGUUAGUAGUUAAUACCUGCUAGCCGUGACGUUAACAACAGAAGAAGCACCGGCUAACUCCGUGCCAGCAGCCGCGGUAAUACGGAGGGUGCGAGCGUCAAUCGGAAUUACUGGGCGUAAAGCGCACGCAGGCGGUUUGUUAAGCUAGAUGUGAAAGCCCCGGGCUCAACCUGGGAUGGUCAUUUAGAACUGGCAGACCAGAGUCUUGGAGAGGGGAGUGGAAUUCCAGGUGUAGCGGUGAAAUGCGUAGAUAUCUGGAGGAACAUCAGUGGCGAAGGCGACUCCCUGGCCAAAGACUGACGCUCACGUGCGAAAGUGUGGGUAGCGAACAGGAUUAGAUACCCUGGUAGUCCACACCGUAAACGCUGUCUACUAGCUGUGUGUGUCUUUAAGACGUGCGUAGCGAAGCUAACGCGCUAAGUAGACCGCCUGGGGAGUACGGCCGCAAGGUUAAAACUCAAAUGAAUUGACGGGGGCCCGCACAAGCGGUGGAGCAUGUGGUUUAAUUCGAUGCAACGCGAAGAACCUUACCUACACUUGACAUGCUGAGAAGUUACUAGAGAUAGUUUCGUGCCUUCGGGAACUCAGACAC
rnacentral:rRNA from 1 species